ensembl:rRNA 5S_rRNA 5S ribosomal RNA
AUCUACAGCCCUGCCACCCUGAACAAGCCUGAUCCCAUCUGAUCUUGGAAGCUAAGUAGAGUUGGGCUUGGUUAGUACUUGGAUGGGAGACCACCUAGGAAGACCAAGUGCUGUAGACA